rnacentral:rRNA from 1 species
GAUUUCUGGCGAACCGUUGCGGCCCGUGCCCUUCUCGGGCGUGUGCGCCGUGUCGUGUUUGUCAUCCUUCCAGAGAGCUGCGUCUACCAUUCAUUUGGCCGGACGUACGCGAUCUGGAUCGAUUACUUUGAAAAAAUUAGAGUGUUUAAAGCAGGCCUAGCCUUGAAUACAUUAGCAUGGAAUAAUAAUUUAGGACUUCGGUUCUAUUUUGUUGGUUUCUAGUUGGGGGUGCUAGUAUUCCGCGGCCAGAGGUGAAAUUCUUGGAUUCGCGGAAGACUAACUACUGCGAAAGCAUU